GACGGGGGAUGCAAGUGUUAUCCGGAAUUACUGGGCGUAAAGCGUGCGUAGACGGUUCUGUAAGUCGGAUGUGAAAUCCCCGGGCUCAACCUGGGAAUUGCAUUCGAGACUGUGUAGCUGGGGUGCGGAAGAGGGAAGCGGAAUUUCCGGUGUAGCGGUGAAAUGCGUAGAUAUCGGAAGGAACAUCAGUGGCGAAAAGCGGCUUCCUGGUCCAGCACCGACGUUCAGGCACGAAAGCGUGGGAGCAACAGG
rnacentral:rRNA from 1 species